rnacentral:rRNA from 1 species
CCAAUAGCGUAUAUUAAAGUUGUUGCAGUUAAAAAGCUCGUAGUUGAAUUUCGGGAUCAAUGGAUCGGUCAUGCCGUUGGUAUGUACUGGUUUUAUUGAUUCUCACCUUCUAAAGAACCAUGAUGGCUUUAAUUUGUUGUUGUGGGGAAUUAGGACUGUUACCUUGAAAAAAUUAGAGUGUUUAAAGCAGGCUUACGCUUGAAUACAUUAGCAUGGAAUAACGAAAUAGGACAUCGCAUUCUAUUUUGUUGGUUUCUAGGAUCGAUGUAAUGAUUAAUAGGGAUAGUUGGGGGCAUUAGCAUUCAAUUGUCAGAGGUGAAAUUCUUGGAUUUAUUGAAGACUAACUACUGCGAAAGCAUUUGCCAAGGAUGUUUUCAUUAAUCAAGAACGAAAGUGAGGGGAUCGAAGACGAUCAGAUACCGUCGUAGUCUUAACCAUAAACUAUGCCGACUAGGGAUCGGAUGAUGUUAAUUUUUUAAUGACUCAUUCGGCACCUUACGGGAAACCAAAGUGUUUGGNUUC